rnacentral:pre_miRNA from 1 species
CGGGGGAGGCCGGAUCCUGGGCUGUGUCCCGCCGCCCUGUGCUCCGGGGCCUGCGCUGUUGGAUUCGCGCUCCCGGGCCGCGCAGCCCCCU